UACCAGCACCCCGAGUGGUCGGGACGUUUAUUGGGCCUAAAGCAUCCGUAGCCGGCUCUACAAGUCUUCCGUUAAAUCCACCUGCUUAACAGAUGGGCUGCGGAAGAUACUAUAGAGCUAGGAGGCGGGAGAGGCAAGCGGUACUCGAUGGGUAGGGGUAAAAUCCGUUGAUCCAUUGAAGACCACCAGUGGCGAAGGCGGCUUGCCAGAACGCGCUCGACGGUGAGGGAUGAAAGCUGGGGGAGCAA
rnacentral:rRNA from 1 species